UAUAUAGAUAACCUGCCCUCAAGAAAGGAACUAAACAGUUGGAAACGACUGCUAAUGCCCUAUUAUGCCUUAAUACAUAAGUAUGCAAGGGAAACGCUUUAGUGCUUGAGGAUGGGUCUGUAUGGUAUCAGCUUGUUGGUGAGGUAAUGGCUCACCAAGGCUAUGACGCCUAACNGGUUUGAGAGGAUGAUCAGUCACACUGGAACUGAGACACGGUCCAGACUCCUACGGGAGGCAGCAGUGGGGAAUAUUGCACAAUGGACGAAAGUCUGAUGCAGCAACGCCGCGUGGAGGAUGACACAUUUCGGUGCGUAAACUCCUUUUAUAUAGGAAGAUAAUGACGGUACUAUAUGAAUAAGCACCGGCUAACUCCGUG
rnacentral:rRNA from 1 species